UACGUAGGGGGCUAGCGUUGUCCGGAUUUAUUGGGCGUAAAGAGCGUGUAGGCGGCCAUGCAGGUCCGUUGUGAAAACUGGAGGCUCAACCUCCAGACGCCGGUGGAAACCGUGUGGCUAGAGUCCGGAAGAGGAGAGUGGAAUUCCUGGUGUAGCGGUGAAAUGCGCAGAUAUCAGGAAGAACACCCGUGGCGAAGGCGGCUCUCUGGGACGGUACUGACGCUGAGACGCGAAAGCGUGGGGAGCGAACAGG
rnacentral:rRNA from 1 species